ACUCAUUUACAUUUGAGUCAGGGCCUUUUCAUUUUACCAACAAAUUCAACUAGCUAAACUAAGACUUACAAGCACAAAAGAAUCAGCAUUGCAAUUAAAAUUCAGUUUAAACUCGAACAUUUAUACAAGUAUAUAAGGCACAAUUCGUCGCCUCACAUAGACUACUCCCUUUAACAGGGGCUGGUAUUAAGCUCCAAGGAACACAUAAGACCAAAAAGAUAUAACAAAACAGCUAAUAAGUCCAAGAAAAAUGGCGAAUAUCUAAUCAUAGCAAUCUAUGCACUAAACAGU
rnacentral:lncRNA from 1 species